AUUGAACGCUGGCGGAAUGCUUUACACAUGCAAGUCGAACGGCAGCACGGGGCAACCUGGUGGCGAGUGGCGAACGGUGAGUAAUACAUCGGAACGUGCCCAAUCGUGGGGGAUAACGUAGCGAAAGUUACGCUAAUACCGCAUACGAUCUACGGAUGAAAGCGGGGGAUCGCAAGACCUCGCGCGAAUGGAGCGGCCGAUGUCAGAUUAGGUAGUUGGUGGGGUAAAGGCUCACCAAGCCGACGAUCUGUAGCUGGUCUGAGAGGACGACCAGCCACACUGGGACUGAGACACGGCCCAGACUCCUACGGGAGGCAGCAGUGGGGAAUUUUGGACAAUGGGCGCAAGCCUGAUCCAGCCAUUCCGCGUGCAGGAUGAAGGCCUUCGGGUUGUAAACUGCUUUGUUGCGGAACGAAACGGUUCUCUCUAAUACAGGGGC
rnacentral:rRNA from 1 species